rnacentral:rRNA from 1 species
GAUGAACGCUGGCGGCGUGCCUAAUACAUGCAAGUCGAGCGAACAGACGAGGAGCUUGCUCCUCUGACGUUAGCGGCGGACGGGUGAGUAACACGUGGAUAACCUACCUAUAAGACUGGGAUAACUUCGGGAAACGGAGCUAAUACCGGAUAAUAUAUUGAACCGCAUGGUUCAAUAGUGAAAGACGGGUUUGCUGUCACUUAUAGAUGGAUCCGCGCCGCAUUAGCUAGUUGGUAAGGUAACGGCUUACCAAGGCAACGAUGCGUAGCCGACCUGAGAGGGUGAUCGGCCACACUGGAACUGAGACACGGUCCAGACUCCUACGGGAGGCAGCAGUAGGGAAUCUUCCGCAAUGGGCGAAAGCCUGACGGAGCAACGCCGCGUGAGUGAUGAAGGUCUUCGGAUCGUAAAACUCUGUUAUUAGGGAAGAACAAAUGUGUAAGUAACUAUGCACGUCUUGACGGUACCUAAUCAGAAAGCCACGGCUAACUACGUG